CGCUCCCCAUCCGCUGCGUUCUCUGCUACAAACAACGAACCUCCUGCUUCACUGCAGUCGAGUUACGUUUUCUUUCUUGCAGAUGAGAAAUUCGGAGUAAUCUUCAAAAUCUCGCCUCUGUCUCGUGUCAACAUGACCAGGACAGAGCGCUGCCCGCGAGGGUCCGGCACGUUUUCGUGCUCGCAAAUGGCAUCAGAAACUUACAGGGCUUCAGCUUGAACUCGUUCAUCUGGAGGAUUCCCUAUGGAAGAGCCUUUGCGAAGAUAGUCUGGCGUGUCUCCACGGUGAGAACGCACUUACUUUAGUGCAAUCGCAGCGGAAAUCUGCAGUCUCUGGUCCUAUGAACCGAGAAAGCGUUUUCAAUUCGAUUCCGAUUACUCUGGGGAGCG
rnacentral:RNase_P_RNA from 2 species